rnacentral:rRNA from 1 species
UACGUAGGGGGCGAGCGUUAUCCGGAAUUACUGGGCGUAAAGCGCACGCAGGCGGUUCGCCCAGUUUGGAGUGACAGUUGUCGGCUCAACCGACAAAGGACUUCAAAAACUGGUGAACUUGAGGACGAGAGAGGAACAUGGAACUCCAGGUGUAGUAGUGAAAUGCGUAGAUAUCUGGAAGAACACCAAUGGCGAAGGCAAUGUUCUGGCUCGUUUCUGACGCUCAGGUGCGAAAGCCAGGGGAGCGAACGGG